AUUGAACGCUGGCGGCAUGCUUUACACAUGCAAGUCGAACGGUAACAGGGUGCUUGCACCGCUGACGAGUGGCGAACGGGUGAGUAAUGCGUCGGAACGUGCCGAGUAGUGGGGGAUAACGCAGCGAAAGUUGUGCUAAUACCGCAUACGUACUGAGGUAGAAAGUGGGGGACCUUCGGGCCUCACGCUAUUCGAGCGGCCGACGUCUGAUUAGCUAGUAGGUGAGGUAAAGGCUCACCUAGGCGACGAUCAGUAGCGGGUCUGAGAGGAUGAUCCGCCACAGUGGUACUGAGACACGGCCGAGACUCCUACGGGAGGCAGCAGUGGGGAAUUUUGGACAAUGGGCGAAAGCCUGAUCCAGCCAUGCCGCGUGUCUGAAGAAGGCCUUCGGGUUGUAAAGGACUUUUGUCAGGGAGGAAAUCCCUAGUGCUAAUAACACUGGGGGAUGACAGUACCUGAAGAAUAAGCACCGGCUAACUGCGUGCCAGCCGCCGCGGUAA
rnacentral:rRNA from 1 species